rnacentral:tRNA from 1 species
CAGGGAGACAACAAAAUGUUUAAUAUUAUUUUGUUUUCUUAGGUCGAUCGGAAUGUCCCGUCCUUUGUUAAUUAAGAAUUUCAUUCCCUGAUUUUUUCUAGGUCACACCCAUUAUUUUCCCUGGGCCAUUACCUCUUGUGGUUAAAGCGUACCCCUGAGGACGCUGAGGUCCCUGGGGCAAGUCCGGGAUGGCCCAUAUCUCUAUGUUGGGGGUAUAGCUCAGUUGGUGGAGCGCCUGCUUUGCGGCCAGGAUGUCAGCGGUUCGAGGCCGCUUACCUCCACUGAUUACCACCUCUGCCAUAAUUUUUAAAGGGAUUAUUUUGAGUACUGAUCAAAUUCUGAACGAAUCUAGCUUCCUAAUGAAACAUUACGAUGCUGGACUCAUUGAAUUAAUUUCAUUGUUUUCAGACAACCUUGACAACUGCAUAGAUCAUUUUUAAAGACAAUAAGCAUCUUUAAUGAUGCAGAUGUAUUAUUUGUGCAAAUGCAUCUAAUAACAAUUCUACUAGGCUGAUGCUUCUAUUUUGAAGUAGCUG